UUGAGAUUGAUUUUUUCGGUAGUAACUUUAAAUAUUUAGAGUCACCUUGUUACACAUUGGUGACCUUUGAAAACUUAUUUUGAUUCUUUUAUUUAGUGUUUAGAGCAUAAAUUAUGUAAAUCUUAUAAAAAAAAAGAUUGAAGAAGGGUUUUGGUAGCAAAAAGAAAGUUUAGGGUAUUCAUAUAGAUGAAUGAAGAUGGAUGAUGAAAAUCUCCAUUCCUAUUGAUAAAAAAAAUCAUGACCAAUGGGCUUCAAGGAGGCUACUCAAGGCCAUAUUAGAGAUUAGGGUUAGUUUUUUUGGAGCCUUUUGAGCUUUGAAGGCUAAGAUCAGUAAUUUUAGGUUUUUGGCUAUGGUUUUGGUAUAAAUAUUGUAUGAUUAGGAGUUUAUAUGAAAGAGAUAUGGGUGCUCAAAGUUAAGGUGUUGAUUUAGGAGCUACUAUCACUAUUUUUGAUAUAACGCAUGCGUACAAAGGGCAAUUGAGAAUCGGCAACUACGAUUGGAGAGAGCACUUUUGCGGCUAUAUUUUUUGCAUACUACUUGCUCGAUUCCAAGUUGGAAUGAAGGAGUUUUUGAAUUUUGAAGUUAGCACAUACAAUCUAAGGAUAUAAGUGACCCGAUUUACUAGUGGUUGUGUCUUGAGCUAUAUCUUAAGCAAUUUGACAAGAUUUUGGCUCAA
rnacentral:lncRNA from 1 species